CGGAAGUACUGGGCGGAAAGCGUGCGUAGGUGGUUCGUUAAGUCUGAUGUGAAAGCCCUGGGCUCAACCGGGGAAUGGCAUUGGAUACUGGCGGGCUAGAGCGCGGUAGAGGAUGGUGGAAUUCCCGGUGUAGCGGUGAAAUGCGUAGAGAUCGGGAGGAACACCCGUGGCGAAGGCGGCCAUCUGGACCAGUACUGACGCUGAGGCACGAAAGCGUGGGGAGCAAACAG
rnacentral:rRNA from 1 species